GAAGAUUUGGAUCAGAUCGGUUCUUGAUUCGAAAGAUUAAUGAAAGAAGAAGCUAUUUGAGGACUUUUCUUGUGAAUUCAAAACGACUGUUUGUGUCCCAGGAUUCAUUGAAUCUGAUAUGAUUGUUAAAUUAAUUUUAUUUUUUUUCCUUUUUCGAAUUCUUGGCACCUUAUGUUUCUAAAAUCAGAGUGAAUAUAAGACCUGAUAUGUCUGAUUCAAGUAACUUCUAUCUUCUUUAUACAAAUUCUGACGUACUAGAUUCAUUCCUCUUUCCUAUACUCAAACCAUCACUAGCCCCUAUUAAGGAAAGCGCUUACACGACAGUCCAGAAACAGAAGAAUGAAGUUAGUUUCAGUAAUGCGUGGGGAAGAUGAAUUGUUUGACUCAAAUCUUGUAUGUGAGCUUCCACCCGUCUUGGCUUUCCUUGCCGUGCAUCCCUUUUGUUUUAUUGCUUUGUGGGUCAAGGUGUUAUAUUUUUCUUCUUUCGUCCUUGUCUUCCUCCUACAGAAAAAGGAUUCUUUAUUCCCAUAUUUCUUUCCGGUGUUUCUUCUCCUAAAGCUGGGGAGCCUAUUAGAAUGACUCAAACGAUUGUGUUUGGAUUACUUAAAAUUAUUUGAUUCUCCGGUUGGACUUGCAUGCCUUCAACUUUUCCCAUAGUCCUAGAACCUUGCCGUCUUGUAUUCCGGGGAUUGCCCUAGUAGUUCCCUGAAUGGACAGUGAGUGGGCAAUGGGUUACGUGGCUAUUAUAGACCAAGAAACUAUGAUUCUAAGGAAAUUUAAUAAGUAAUUCCCAAUUUUGGGUGGCUAGAGAAGGAGACUAAGAAAUUGACUACGUUCUACAAGGGCUCGUGAAUUGCUUUUAAGCCACGUUGAGAUGGGAGAUUAUGGGUAGAAGCUUGGCUCGGUUUGAUUUGGUUAUGCGAAUUUCCUUGGUUGGUUGGCCUGAAGGCUUGUUUUGACCGACUGAAACAGUAGCAGCAUAGAGUAAGAAUAGCUUCUUCUGUUAGGUCGGCCUACUUCCCCUUUAACGCGGUAUUCCUUUCUUGGCCCGAAUCUCUCAACUAACCUAAACCGUUUUUCUUCCCGACUCUGUAACGGUCCAUAGGAGGGUUGGUAGUACAUUAGUCGCAGUAAUGGGUGGAAUAUUUUACCCUCUUUGGGUACCUAAAAGUUUCCCAAAUCAUAGCGCUUUCAGCAUAAGUUGGUCUAAUAUGAUCGAAAGAUCACCGUUGGUGAAAGUUUGUAAAUUCGUGCGGAAUAAGUAGCCAUUAUGCCUUCGGAUUGACAGCCCGAAAAAUUGAAUUUUGUGGUUGGAAUGCAUUUUAGGAUGUGGAAUCUAUUAGUAAAAGUGCGCCCGAAAAAUUGAAUUUUGUGGUUGGAAUGCAUUUUAGGAUGUGGAAUCUAUUAGUAAAAGUGCGGUCUAACUUGAUUGAGAUUUCACCGUCGUUAAAAGUUUGUAAACCCGUACGGGGUAGGUGGCUAUUAUGCCUUCGGGUUACUAGCCCAAGAAAUGGAAUUAUGUGGAUGAACCGCAUCUGAGGAGGGUUCCCAACUUUCCAUGGUGUGUGGGGGUGUACAACUCAUGAUACUUUGAGAGUUGUUGUUGUAGCUUUUGGUGUGUUGGUUUCGGCUCGUGGUUGGAAGUAAAACUUUCAGGUGGAGUAGUUGACUCCUGGUGUUGAGUGUGGUGAAAUUGGGUUCAUUUAGGGAUAAUCACAGUUUGGUUCGGUUUAGUGCCAAACAGUUAAUCGAAUCAUGAAUAACGGUUUAACCUUUUUCUGAAUCGAACCGAACCGUGAACGAUGAAUAGCCGAAUAUGUACAAAAUAAAAACACAUUAGUGUAUCAAAACGAAUAUUAGUGAACUGAAUUGAACAUUGAAUAUUAGCGAACCAAACCGAACUGAACCCCCAUAAAUCAUGAAUAACAGAUAACUUAUGAUUUUGUUAGUUAAAACUUGUGGUUCGGAUCGAAAAUUACAAAUUGAACUGACCAGUUCGAUUGGUUUCGCAGUUCAAUCAUUUUUUUGGCUCAUACCUAGGUUCGUUACUUCAUUUAUAUCUUAUUAAAUAUGAUACUUCCCUUAAUCAAAAUUAAUUUUAUUAAAUUAUUCAUGUAGUACCCGUAUAUAUACAUAUAUAUAUAUAUAUAUACAUAUAUAUAUAUACAUAUAUAUGAAACAUUAAUAACUUUUCUUUUACUACUCUUCUUAUUAGUAGUUGGUUCCUUAUUAGAUUUCUUAUGAGAUUUUUUAUAAUAUUUAUCUUUAUUCUUAUCUUCAUAUUUAGAAGGAUUACUCCUAUAUUUAUGUUUCUUAUGUUUCUUAGAAACAUGUUUCUUUUCAUACUUAUCUCUUUUAUGAGAUUUAGAUGGAUAAUUAAUUUUAGGAAUAUCUACUGCAAAUUGAUCACAAAAUUCUCCUAACUCUUUUCUAUUAGUUAAAUUUUGUUUUUUCAUAUGCUUUUGUAAUUUUAAAUCAUUACAAAGUUUUAAGCCUUCUUGGACUAUAACAGCAUUUAAUUGUCCAUAAGUAUAGGAUUCAUAAUCAAUGAUCUCAUUAUUACCUCUUAAGGCUUGUCUAACUUUUUCAGCAAAUAAGCUAGGCAAUCCAUCAAUAAAUUUAGUUUUCCAAUAUAUUGAAUUAGAAUCUGCUCUUUGCAUUAUUUUGGCAAGGAAGACAUCCUUAUACCAUCUAAAAUGUGCUAAGGAUAAACACUUUAAAUUUUGAAGUAAAUAUCUAUGAUAUUCUUCAUUAUUAGAUAUGGUGCCUACAAAAUGCAAUAUUAUAGUCUGAACUAAUGUAUAAACAACAUCAGUUUUCAUUACAGUUCCUCCUGAUUCUUCAGGUUCAUAUUUUACUGCAUUAAGAAUUUCAUUCUUUUGUCCUGCAUUAAGAAAGUUAUCCCACCAACCUCUUAGGGUUCCUGUAAAACCUGUAAUGAUUAAUAUAGCGCAUUCUUUAUCGCUAUUUCCAUUUACUUUACAUGCAAUUGCAUAAACUAGCAUUUCAUGAACUAUAUUCAUUAUUUGAAAUUCAGACAUUCCAUCAAUUUCCCAGCAAUAAAUAUCACUUCCAGAAUAAAACUUCUGUUGGUGUUGGGAAUAUUCUUCGAAUAGAACAUCUUGAGGAGUUGGUCUAGGAUAAUAAUGCCUAAGAGACCCUUGCAUACUGGUACCCUUCUUUUUAGAAUAUUGUAUUUUAUUAUUCUGUAAAUUUAGAAACAUAUUUUCUAAGUCUUCAAUAUUUCUUUCAUUAGUUGGAUCAAAUUUUAAUAUAUUAAUUUGAAGUCCCUGUAACUUAAUUUGUAAUUCUUUUAAGAAUUCAUUAUAUUUUUUAUUAUCUCUAAGAGAUACCUUACUUAUAUUCAUAGGAGGUUUUACUCCUACUGGUUCAAUUAUGACAGACUUCUUAUAAGGAAUUUCCUUUUCCUUUUCCUUUUCCUUAGAAGUAAUCUUAUCUUCUAAUAAUGUAAUAUUUUCCUCAACUCUGGUUAGUUGAUGACUAAUUGUAGUUAAAUUUAAAUUAGUCCAAUUAUUCUGUUUAAUAACUUUAUCAUUACUUUUUUCUCCUAUAGGAAGAACAAAUGCAGUAGCAUCAAAUGUUAUCGGUUCGCCAGAACUAUUAGUUCCAUAUUCCAUAGCAAUAGAUACUGAAGGUGGGUGGAUGUUCUUAAGAACCAUACCAUCCUCAGUUUUCCAUUCUCUGGAAAAUUCUUCUAAAACACAUAUGUUUUUCUCAGUAUAACCAAAGUGUUCAAAAUAAUCAAAAUAUAAUUCUCCACAAUGUUUAGUGAUAAACCAUUCUGGGAAAGGAAUCAUUUUUCUAACUUUUUCUAAGUGAAGGUAAUAUUCACUUUUCAUUUUAUUUAUAAAAUUUUUAUCUAAUUGUCUAUACAUCCUUACAAAACCUUCAUACUUAGGUUGCAUAAGGUCCUUUCUCAUAGUAUCUCUUAAUAUAUGAUGGUACUCACCAUCUAUUUUGAAUAUGGCUUCACUUAUCAUAUCGAAAAGUUUAUUUCACUAGCAGAAGGCAUAUCCUGCUUCUUAUAUACUCCAUGGGGUAUUUGGUUAGGGGAUAUCCUAAUUCCUUCAACAGAUAUGUUGUCAUCUAUAGGAUCACUAUUAACUGAUUGAGUACUAACCGAAGGUCUAGCACUAGAUAAUGGUAUAGAAACCUUAUAAGGUGCUUCUGAAUAACUUCUAGUUAAUUUAGGAAGUUCUUUCCUAAAGUUUAAAAAUACCUCUCCAUCAGAAUGUUCAACAAUGGAUUCAAUAUCCCUAUGUAUAAUGGGUUUAGGUGGUAUAGCCCUCUGAAUUCUCCAUCUUUCAGGAAAUUCUAUAUCUUCCCAUUUAAUCAACUUAUUAGUUGCAGUAAAUGAAUUAGAUAACAUAUUUGACUCUAUCAGAGUAGUAUAACCUAAGUUAUUACCUACCUGCCUUAUAUUAGGGGUUAGAGUAUUCAUAACUUUAAAAUAUAUGCGGUAAAUAACAGCAACAGUUUCAGAUGCAGGUAAAAAGUCAUAACCUUUAGUUAAUAAUUUUAAUUGAACAGACUCACAUAUAUGUCUAUCAGAUAAAGAUAAAGUUAAAUUAGGAUAAACAUUAAAAUAUACAGGACCAUGACAUAAACUGGUUUCUACUGCUCCCAUUAUGGAAGGUAUCCAAUUAAGACAUCUAGCAUCUCUUAAAGUAGCUUGAAUACAAGCAUUUAAACCUAAUAAAGUUAAAGGUUUAAAGGCAACUUGAAUAAGCCCAAUAUGCAUAAAUUUAUAUUUUCCUCUAUAUCUAAUUAUAUCACGAGGAUUUAUUAAAUUAAGUUCUUCAUUGUCUUGACCUAAACUUAAGGUCUGUUCCAUGGUCUUAACAGCCAUACUGCUAAUUAAUUCAAACAUACCUUUUUUAUAUAUAGUACUAGGUUGUACAGUAGGAAUAGUCCACUUGUUUAACUGUUCCCGAAUAUUUUCAUAUUCAAUAAAAUCUACAUUUUUAAUAGAAUCAUUU
rnacentral:lncRNA from 1 species